GCAUCGUGGUCGGCGUGACUAGCUCCUGUUGAACUCCCCCAGGGUCGGAAGGCAGCAAGGGUAGAUAGUUGAGCGGUGUAUUGUCGGCUACAUUUUUUUUAG
rnacentral:SRP_RNA from 1 species